rnacentral:rRNA from 1 species
UACGUAGGGCGCAAGCGUUUAUCCGGAAUUAUUGGGCGUAAAGAGCUCGUAGGCGGUUUGUCGCGUCUGCCGUGAAAGUCCGGGGUCAACUCCGGAUCUGCGGUGGGUACGGGCAGACUAGAGUUCGGUAGGGGAGACUGGAAUUCCUGGUGUAGCGGUGAAAUGCGCAGAUAUCAGGAGGAACACCGGUGGCGAAGGCGGGUCUCUGGGCCGAUACUGACGCUGAGGAGCGAAAGCGUGGGGAGCGAACAGG